AACAUUCUCUCUCUCGUAAGGCGACACGAGCUCUUGAUCUCGGUGGUGCGACGACGACAGGGUCAAGAUCUAGGCUAAUCCGGCCAAAGUCUCUUCUUCUUCGGUCACUGGAUUCCUUCAACCUUCUGCUCCGCCUAGAGUUUACAAUCCCCGCGCUCCUCAUUGCGCCCAUGGAUAUCAAACCGUUCCAGGCAUAGCUUCUCUUUACUGAGUUCGAUGUGCUGAUUCAGUUUUUACAGAUUUCAAUUUUAGUGAAAUUGAUGACUAUCAUGAAUUACUUCAAGAGGUUGCCGUAAGACCCACCUGCUGGAAUUAGCGGUGCUCCUCAAGACAACAACAUCAUGCUCUGUAAUGCUGUUAUAUUCGGGCCUGAUGAUUCACCAUGGGAUGGAGUUAAGGUUUUUGUUAUUGUAAUCACUUAUCUUUAGAUUUUAGUAAUAGUCAAUAUCUUUCCUUGUAUGAUUUUUUCUACGUACGUUCUACUUCCCUUUUACAUGGAUCUUUGAUCUCCAUUUUUAAGUGUUGGUGUUCUUGAUAGGACCACAUUGGCUGAACAAUCACUCUUUAAUUUUUAAAUCACAGCCAUUGCUCUGUGAUCCUAAUCCGAGUUCUCCUGCAAACUCGGAAGCUGCACGAAUGUUCAGCGAAAGCAAACGCGAGUACAACAGAUGAGUAUGCGAGUCUUGUGUUUGAUUCCACCAACACUUCUCCCUCUCCGUUUUUCUUUCAUCUUAUUGUGUUUUCAAAGUUUGUGAUUUGUUUCUCUUAUUGUUUCUGUGUUUCCAUGUAUUAUCUUAACCAUAUUCAUCUUUAUAAUGAUCAUUUGUAGAUUAAAAACA